AGGGGCCGUGGCUCAAUGGAAGAGGGUCUGCUUUGAGAGCAGAAGGUCCCAGGUUCAAUCCCUGGUGCCUCUA